rnacentral:rRNA from 1 species
GUGGGGAAUUUUGGACAAUGGGCGCAAGCCUGAUCCAGCAAUGCCGCGUGCAGGAAGAAGGCCUUCGGGUUGUAAACUGCUUUUGUACGGAACGAAAAGGCUCUGGUUAAUACCUGGGGCUCAUGACGGUACCGUAAGAAUAAGCACCGGCUAACUACGUGCCAGCAGCCGCGGUAAUACGUAGGGUGCAAGCGUUAAUCGGAAUUACUGGGCGUAAAGCGUGCGCAGGCGGUUUUGUAAGACAGAGGUGAAAUCCCCGGGCUCAACCUGGGAAUUGCGCUUGUGACUGCAGCGCUGGAGUGCGGCAGAGGGGGAUGGAAUUCCGCGUGUAGCAGUGAAAUGCGUAGAUAUGCGGAGGAACACCGAUGGCGAAGGCAAUCCCCUGGGCCUGCACUGACGCUCAUGCACGAAAGCGUGGGGAGCAAACAGGAUUAGAUACCCGUGUAGUCC